GAAGUGGCCAGCAUAGAAUGAGGAAGUAUUUUUGUGCAAAGUACACUGCAGCCCAGCACUAUGGUCCUUGCAGCUAUUAAAUGAUGUGAGCAUUAUGAGUUGUGUGACGAAGGAAAAAAUUUCACUUUACAUACACACAAGGACAUACAUGCUUUGAUGACCCAAUACUUAGUUGACUUUAUCUCUGUUAAAUUUAAAAAGUGCUGGUUAAAUUAUAAUUUAAUUUAUUU
rnacentral:misc_RNA from 1 species